rnacentral:rRNA from 1 species
GCCUACGGGGGGCAGCAGCAAGGAAUUUUGGGCAAUGGGGGAAACCCUGACCCAGCAACGCCGCGUGGACGAUGAAGGCUUUCGGGUCGUAAAGUCCUUUUGUGGGGGACGAUAAUGACGGUACCCCACGAAUAAGCCCCGGCUAACUACGUGCCAGCAGCCGCGGUAAUACGUAGGGGGCGAGCGUUGUCCGGAUUUAUUGGGCGUAAAGCGCGCGUAGGCGGUGCGUUAAGUCCGUGGUGAAAUCUCCCGGCUCAACUGGGAGGGUGCCAAGGAAACUGGCGCGCUGGAGGACGGCAGAGGAAGGUGGAAUUCCCGGUGUAGUGGUGAAAUGCGUAGAGAUCGGGAGGAACACCAGUGGCGAAAGCGGCCUUCUGGGCCGGUCCUGACGCUGAGGCGCGAAAGCGUGGGGAGCGAACCGGAUUAGAUACCCCGGU